ensembl:lncRNA
GAGCUUGGAAGGGAAGUCUCACAUGAGACUGCGGCCAGCAGACAUUUGGAUUUUCAUAAUUGCAAGGGUCUGAUCACAGGACCUACCACACCCAUACUUGGAAUUCUGACCCACAGAAACUGAGAGGGCUUGCCAAGGAUCAAAAAAACUUCUGCCUGUAAAUGGCUCUCAGCAUUGAUACAUCCUGAAACCGUCUGUGUGCAUCAGGAAAGAAACAGAGCUCACUUGCUUCUAUGAAAAAAAUCCACGUUUUUUCAUCCUCGGGGCCUUACUCCUGAGAAUCAAAUUGGAAAACACCAUUUUUAAAGGCACAUUCAAAGACAGUCUGUGAAGGAAAAAAAAGUAGCUGCUAGAAGCAAGUAAACAAUCUAUACUUGAAUCUCUGAAAACAAGAUAAAAGUACUUUGCAAAGAAACAAAAUCUAAGGAACUCAGAAAAACUGAAGUCAAUUGUGAACCUGAUUUGCUGAUACUCUUCUCCUAAGAGGAGGGCCUGUGCUGUUUUUUAAAAAUAA